rnacentral:lncRNA from 1 species
GAACCUAGCACUUGACAUAACACACAGAGAUCACGGAGCACAACAAAAGAAAUAUAAAAAUAACAUGUAUCUGGUGGCUACUAAACUGCACACUCCUAGCUGCAAAACCACGACUAUCGCUGAUGAGCUGCACGGGGUCGCCAUCUAUACUGCUUUGUCGAGGGCGACUGGGACCUCAUCGGGCAUAAUCUGUACUGCUUCCUACAACAACAUGUAAACCGAACCUCAAGAGCAAACAAUAGAGGACCACAUUGCACUUUUCACUUUUUUCUUAAAAAAAGCAACAAAGGCAGUAGACUGCAGGUGCACACGGCAAAUCUCAUCACCACGGGGAUGCGCCAUGGAGGAGAGCACCUUCUAUCGUCCCACUCCUCGGCAGUAAGUCAAUGCAGUGCACUACAUGAGCAAUGUUGCGGCACAAGCAAAGUUGGUUAACAUACACAUCAUCAAUCAUAUCUGAGAAACAGAGAAGGCAAGAAAAAGUGAGAGAGAUUGGGAGAACCUGGGCGCUAGGGCUGGCCCUUGGCAUCCUCGGGCCGGAGCAUGAGCUCGGUGACGCAGGAGCCGUCAUCCACGAACAGCCUCCCGUCGCCGAUUUUGUGGUCCACACGCACCACCACGCCCUGCCUGCCGCAGCGAGCACAAAAGUGUACUACACAGGGAUUUGAUGAUGGCCGCAUGUGCCUGCUUUGUGGACUGCUCCAGCAGAGCGACAAAACUCCUGGAGAGGAAGACCCUCGAUCGAGGCA